rnacentral:misc_RNA from 1 species
ACUAUGGCGGAGGCGGCGAGAGGGAGCCAGACCUCAGAGUUAGACCCUUCAGUACCAGCAACACAAGUUAAAAAACGUGAGAGACAGACGGGCGUGUCAUGGGACGACGUGGCCGCCAGACUGCUGCAGGAGAAGCUGCUGCUGACGGCGCUGGAGCUGCACACGGAGCUGGUGGAGGCGGGGUGUGAACUGCCCAGACUGAGAGAUUACUUCUCUAAUCCUGCCAACUUUGAUCAUUACACGACUGUAAGACAUGCUGACCUGCAUUCCGUCGCCCUGCAUACUGGACUCUCACUCGCACGCUCUUCAAGCCAAACUACUCUAGAUUCUCUGGAUUGGGGUCGUCUCAGCGAAGAUGGAGAAAGAGCUGUGGAUGAGCGCGUGGCUGUCCUUGAGUUUGAAUUACGCAAGGCGCGUGAGACUAUACAGGGACUGCGAACAAAUCUCACACAAGCAACAGAAUCAAAACCAUCAUCUUUUGAAAAGGAGGAAGCAAAUAAACCGGCUAUUGUAGCAUCUUUAUCAUCCAUCCGUCCACAUGAGAAGAGAACGUUAAACUUCUUAAUUAAUGAGUUUCUUGUGACAAAUUCUUACAAACUAACUGCAAUCACCUUUGCUGAUGAGAAUGAUGAUCAGGAUUUUGAGCAUUGGGAUGAUGUGGGACUGAAUACUGGUCGGCCGCCAAACUUGGUGCAACUGCUUAGAGAAGGCGGCCACUCUACAACUCGGCUCAUCUCGUGUUCUUCCCAGACAGAGGGUAGCUCACAAACACAGAUCACUCAGCUGGAGGAGCAGAUAAAAAGGUUACAAGAAGAGCUAAAUGAAGCAAAGAGUAAUUUUGAUGCUCAAGAGAGGGAAUUUCAGAAGUUGAAGAGAAGAGCUUCUGCCCCAAGCAUAACUCCACUUACAUCGCCUAAAAAACAAACCAAUCGUAUGCAAGCUGAAGGGAACACAGAUAAUGCUGACAAGUCAAGCCCAAUUAGUGUUGAUAAGGAUGGUCGAGAAUCGCCUGAGGGAACUUCAGAUAAUGAAGAAGCAUCAGGGGGUGGUGGAUUUGUUAUGGUAACACCUUCAGCAGUGCCACUUAGGACUCAAACCAUAGGGUCUUCAGCAAAUGUUGAAUUUAAAAAUGGUGUUGAAAACAGUGAGGAAAUUACUGAUGAAGGUGCUGGUGCUCAUGCACAGAUAAAUGAAUUGAUAAAUGAUGUAAGUGGAUUUGAAAUGCCUUCAGAAUCUAUUGAAGAUCUGAUACAAGCCAACCAUGGAGGUACACAUUGUGAUUUAAAUAUACAGCUUUCAGAAUCUUUGGAUCAAAGAGUUAGUGUGACUGAGGAAGAGGUGUUGAUAAAGGGAGAAAUAAAUGUAUACGAGUCCUCCACAAUACCAGAUGACGAUGGAGAUGUGGAAAGCGUUGAUGAUUCCUCUGUUAGACAUCAUCACCAGCCUCAGUCAAGAGAUACUAUUCCUGUAAAUGAAAGCACAGGAAACGUAAGUUCAACAGAGAAAUAUCUAGAACAACUAAAGACCGAGGCCAAAACAUUGCUGAGGGCGUCUUCAAAGAGGUGUCCGCCAGAGGCUUUUGAGGAACAUGUAGUGCAGGCCAGUCUUGGCCACAUAAUGCGGAGAAAUUCACGGGUACAGACUGAGGUAGCAACACUGGGUCAAGGUGGCCAAGAACUCUUAGAUGUAGUUGCAACCUCGAUACACAACAUAGCUCCUAAUGUCAUUCUAGCGAAACGUGAGGAACUGUUACCACUCCUCAUCUGUGGGGUGAGUCUACACAAAGAUGGACGAGAGAGAGAGCGCUUACUCCACCUGCUGUUUAACCUUAUUAAGCGGCCAGAUGAGGAGCAGCGCAUCAGCAUUCUAACGGGACUUGUUGGUCUGGCUCGUGUUUUGGGAGCCACCAAGCUUGAGGCUGAACUACUGCCGCAGUGUUGGGAACAGUUGACUCACAAGUAUAUUGAGCGCCGACUGCUUGUAGCUCAAUCUACAGCUGCCUUGGCUCCUUACACCCCGCCACCACUAAGAAACUCUCUCUUGCUUUCCAUGCUACUUCAACUCCUUGCUCCAGGUGGUGAGAAAGAGACCCGGGUGAGAGAUGCAGCACUGACUAGCUUAUCCCUCUUAGUCACUUUCCUAGAUGACCAAGACAAGUUACCCGUUCUUGUGGACACCUUACUAUAUUGCCUUGAGAAUAUUGGGACCACUACUGAUACAUCACCUCCUGCAGCUCUUGAUACAUCAUUUAUGACAGCAAGAUCUGCAGCAUCACCUAGAGCUACAGACAUGCUCCUUGAAUCUUUAGCCAUGUGGGCUGUUGAAAUAAACAGACUAGAUCUCAUACUUGACCCUUUGUUAACAAAACUUAAUCAAAUGGCUAUGCAUUUCAAGCAGCAGCAGCAGCAGGUUAAUUUGCAAGCUUCACAAGCAUUGGGACAACAGCCAAUCGUUCCUGUGAUAGAGGCACUUGUAAAGAUAAUUCCGUUCAUACUGGCGACACUUAUUAAUUCAUUACCUGCUGUAGAUGGUGACGAUAGUACAGUUACUACUUUAAUUUCUUUAUCAGCUUGUAGUGCCUUGGAGGAAUUAGAAGUUAUUAUUGGAAAUAAAGCCACAGCUGAAUCUGGCUUAACUAAAUUUCACCAGUAUGUUUCUAAGGAAUGGUUCAAGUCAUGGAAAGAACUCGAGUAUGUUACUCAAAAGUUCUUUCCAGCCAUAAUUAAGUCCCUCUGUUUUAUUGAUGCUUCAGCUGUGUCAAUAAUUCAAGCAUUUAUUAAGUUGUUUUCUCAGUUGCCAAUUUGUUUUGGAUCUUACCUUACAGCAUCAAGCAUUACUCCAAUUUUUAUGGAAAAUUUGAGCAUUGAUGACUCGGCACUUGAAGCAGUUCGUCAGGGAAAUACUGGCCUCACUGGUUCAUUGGUGGUUGUGUAUAUCGUAGCUUUUUUGGCAUCAAAUCAAGGAUACUCUGAAAAGCCAGGGGAGCUGGAAGGAUUUUUGGCAAGACAAAUAAGUAUUCUUUCCCUGUGCCGUGCACAACCAGACUCACUGUAUGUUGCUAUCUCAACCUUAUUGCAGUCCCAACGUAAUCAAGAGUCUGUGCUUGGAGCUUUAUGGUCAUGUGUAGUUCAUAAAUCCAGUAUGGUGAGAGCAUGCAGUGCUGGGUUGUGGGGAGUAGUUGUGAGUAGUGUGGAGGAUGGUGCCUUGGGAUCACGCGUUGUACCGGCUCUCGUUACUCUCGCCACAGACCCAGAUAUACAUGUCAAGGCCUCGGCAGUUCAUCCUCUGGCUACGGUUAUUACAACGACAACAAAUACUGAGGUAUUAGACAAAGUGUGGCUUCAACUGGAGACUUUGUGUGAGGAUCCAUCUGUGCUGGAGAACUUGGAAUUCCAGUUGGCUCUGGCACGCACAUGUAGUCUUAUGGCACACACUGCACACCCUCGCCUCAUACAUCAGUUUUUGCUGCCGCAGUUGUGUCGACUGGCAAUGGAUGGGAGGCAUAGCGAGGACGACACAGCACUACUGGGCGCGGGGCUGCUAGAAGCAUAUUCGGCUCUCACUUGCUGUCAUUUGCCAGAUCAUGUAGUAGCACACUUUGUUCUUCCACCACUCACCCAGCUUCAAAAAACAUUAGGAUCAUCAACAUUUGAACACAUGGAAACCAUUACUGACCUGAUUCGGGAAUACAACAUGCACACCCAAGCAUCCCAGGGAUUGGAAAGGCGCAAAUCCAACUUGUCACUUAGUGGCGCAUUGCCCGUUCAUCCUGGAGUUGAUGACAUGAAGAACAAGAUGAGUAAGAUGUUUGCAUCCCGUCCGUCUGCUAAUGUCCUGCAAGCCAAAGCUCAAGCUAUGAAUGUCAGUCUGCCAGGAUUCUUAAAGAAAAAAUAAGAAUAAGUUGAUUUAUGAACAACUUUUCCUAAAAUAAUUUUUCUAUCAAAACUGGUAAUCUUUUUUGGUUGUGGUAGAUAUAUGCAAGUUACAGUGAUGGUGGUGGAUGCUCAAACAUUAUUCAUUUAUAUAUACACUACUGAUUAUAUAUAUAUAUAUAUAUAUAGUGUGUGUGUGUGUGUACUCACCUAGUUGUGUUUGCGGGGGUUGAGCUCUGGCUCUUUGGUCCCGCCUCUCAACCGUCAAUCAACAGGUGUGUGUGUGUGUGUGUGUUAUAUAUAAACAUAAUAAUAAUAAUUUGCAGAAAGUGUUCUCUCUGAAGUGGGGAAAUACUUUUUUCUCAGUUUCAGUGAAAUUGUAGAGAUUAUAUUAAAUAACAAAAAUUACUGUCUUACACUCUUCAACAAGGUCUGUUUUUAUAUAGGUUUACAAAUACUAUGUAUUUUGUGUGUGUGUGUGUGAGAUAGAGAAACUGAAUACGAACAAAUUUAUUACUGUACUGUAUAUCAUUUUAUAUACACAGUAACAGGAAUGAUUGUACUGUAUUUGUAUACAGUAGUGGUAACAAGCUCGGAUAUGUUGGUGACGAGCACGGGAAGCUUGAUAUGAUGGAGUUGUCUGGCAGCUUCAUUGGUAUAUAGAUGCUAAGUGGAGUUUAAGCAGAACAUAAAUCUUUAAUAUAAUGGCUGUGGGUAAAUGACCUCCAUGCCCAGUGUACCAGAUGGCAGCCCACAUCACCUGGAGGUCUGGCCGGUCUGUGCUAUCUCUAUACGAUGCACUGAUUUCUGCAGGAACCUGUUCUGCUAUUAUUUGGUGGGAAUGAAUGUUAACCGAUCUGGUUUGCUCUACAAUGGUAUGCUUGUUUGGUGGCAAUAACAAAUUUAAUCUUCAGUCUUUUGGACAAAAGGUAAUAUUUUAAAGUGUUUUUCAGGGGGGAAGAAUGUAUCCUAUGGGGCCGCAAGUACAUUGUUAAAAUUGAUUUGAAAUAAAUUCUAUUUACUUGCUAAUGAUAUAGAAUAAAAAAAGAUCCUUGAUAUUGCAAUAUAGUUUAUUUGCACUUGGAGAUAAAACUAAAUCUUCAGAAGCAUGCUGGUUGUUCUUAAAGUAAAAGACUAAAUUUUGGUGAUAGGAAGUGUAGGAGCGAGAUGAAGUUAGCAGAAGUUUUAUACUACAGUGCAUUGUAGAACUCAUUUGGUAGUCAUUAGUGGUGUUAUUGGCAAAAUAAUUUAAUUAUACUCAUAAAGAAAAUAGUCUUUAAUAUUUGUUAUUUAUUAAUAAAUAAUUCAUUUUGUCUGGAACAGGCAUGUAGAUGCGUAUAUAAAAUAUAUUUUUAGGGUUGUACGAGGCACCCCCCCCCCCCCCCUCCAAGAUCAAACUUCUGACCCUCCCCAGAAUGCAACCUUACAAUAGGUGCCUAACUCCUGGGUAUCUAUUUACUGCUAGGUAAACAGAUGAAUUAGGGGAAAGGUAACAUACCCAACCAUUUCUGUCCCACCUGGAAAUGAAACCCAGCAUCCUCAAUUAACACUUUUGGUCCCCUGUGGACGUAUGCGGCGUCCACGAUUAACUCUGUGGAUGUGCAAAACAGAUGGCCGCGAUGUCCAAAAUUAAAAAAAUUGUUAAAACUCUAUUGGUUUUCCGAUCAUUAUUGGACUAGUUUUAAAAUGCGUGCCUUUAGAUUGCAAACCACUUGAUACCAGAAUGAACGACAUAGCAUGAAAAUUGAGGUGAGAAAAACUGAACAGAGUAUACACAUUUUAUUGUGGGUGGGCAGAUUUGUGCUUGCUCGUGGAUAACGCUCGGCAGACUUUCUAGUUUGCUGUGGGUAGCGCGCAUGUUUAGUUUUCUUAUAUACAUAUAUUCCUUUAAAAAAUUCUAUCACGAACAAAUUGAUAGCAAAAUGAACGAUGUAACACAAAAAUUGAUGGAUAACGCUCAGCUGAUUUUUGGGUUUGUUGUGGGUGGUGUCACGGGUGUGUCUUAUUUUCGUCAUCAAUUGUGUCAUGAUUUUGUUGUCAUAGUUUGUGUGUCAUAGAGAUCUGUCAAGAAUUUGGUGAUGGUUGUGGACCUUUAAAUGUUGUCUAGGGGCAAUAAAUGAUUUUACUUGAGCCUAGGGGAAAACCAAGGAGUAAGGAAAACAGCCUAGUACAAGACACAAAUUUAUACGUACAAGACAAACGAUAUUACAUAUAUUAAAUAUUGUUCCUACUACACAAGGUCAUUAUGAAUGAAUACAAUUCCCUAGCGGGCUCUAAAUACCCUAAGGCUCACCGUCCCAAACUUGGAACCGUGCACAGUCACCACAGAUAUCAACCGAUGACACAUAUAUUUACACCUCUAAGAAACCUGGACUCUCUUAUAGAACAUCUCCAAAAUCUUGCAACCUUGAUAACAAGUAAUGAUGGCUUAUCUGACUGUAUGGCUGGAGAAAUUUCUCCCGAUAGCAAGGUCUGGUUGUCAACGUAUCCGCCUCCCCUCACAUCAAGAUGGGGUCAACCUCUCUUGCGUCAUCGCCCCUUAAUACUCUAUUCUUUACAUUUGCAAUCAAACCCUUUAUUGACUUUAUUUACCAUAUUCCCCAUGCAUACUUUUAGAUUGAGUCCAUUUUUCCCUCACAUAGUUAGGCUAUUCCAGUUCACAUUAUUCCUGACAAUCUCCAGCUGAGAAGGUACUAAUUUGCUGGGCAGAAUAUUACUGGUAACUCCCGGCCUCCCAGAUUUCAGCUGUAGAUUUAUUCUAAUAAACUUUCUCCACUGUCCCCCCCAACAUUUUAUAAUUUGAAACUAUCCUCCAUUGGAGGUAAGGUUCAUAACAGGUGGCAUGCCUUUUUUUUUUUUUUUUUUU